AUGAUGGAUCUGGAGCCUAUCCCAGGAACACUGAGUGUGAGGCAGUAAUGCACACUUGAUGGGAUGCCAGUACAUCACAGGACACCAUGCACAGACACAGUUGCACAUUUAUUCACACUUUGGGGCAAUUUAGCACAGCCAGUCCACCUACAUCCAUGAUUUGGGAGGUGGGCGCUUCUUUCCAAGUCCCAAGUUGCUUAAACAUGCUUAAACUUUUUCUGUUUUGUUGAUGUGCAAGAGCCUGAAUGAAUUUUCCUCCAUACACUAACUUGUGUGUGUGUGUGUUUGCAGAAGUCUGAUGGUGUAUACACUUGUGUGUGUGGGUGUCUGAUACUGCAGGGUGGAAUGGUAGGGGCUGAAAGAUUCCAAGGUCAGGUCAGGAGGUCAAGGCUAUGUUUGAGAUCUGCUCCUGUAGUACCUGGGCUGCACUCUCCUCCUUCACUGUUCUGCAUCAUGGCGGUCUGUGAUUGAGAAAAAGGGCCAGAGAGAGAGGAGCCUAAGUCGACCACUCUCCCAUCCCCAGUAUCCUUGUCUGAAUGGUUCAGUGUCCUGGUCCUCACCCCAGCUCAGGACCUGAUAACUCUCUUAUUGAUGCUUAUCCAAGUCUACAGUGAUCACAUCAACAAGCUGUUCCUCCAUACAUUCCUCCGUACACGUGAAUAAAGUCCCAUCUAACUGUAUUCGGAGAACACAGUAAAACAGUACAAAGGUAAAAUAUCUACAUUAAUUAAUUCAUUGAAGGCAGAUGUCAAAAUUCUGUGUAAAAUGUGUUAUUCUUUUGGUCUCAUAAAUUUGUAACAUUUUUCAGGAACAGUUAAAGGUUAGGGACGGGGUUAACAUUUGUACAUUUUUAGAUGAUUGCUUUGGAAUGAAAUUGAGUGAAAUCCAACCACAUUACCAUUACCAUUUACAUUUAUUCAUUCGGCAGAUGCUGUUAUCUAGAUUGACUUACAAAACAUCCAGUUAAGGCACAGUGCUAUAAGGACCUAGAGAAUCUGUAACGCUGCUUUCACAUUUAAAAUAUUAAUUCCUAGUCCUUAGGAUAUUCUUGAUUUUUAGAAUAUAGUUGUAGAUCUCUCCAAUUGUACUAUGUAAUCAUACAUUUUCAGAUAGUGUAUGUCAUUCAUAUUUAUGAGGCUGACCUAGGUGGGGAAAGGGUAGUGUGCAUGUGCCAGAUAGAGAGGGAGGGGAAAGGAAGGUCUCUGGAGGGAGAUAUGUGCAUACACAGAGCUGCUGCGGCAGCGUCAAGCCAGCAGACGCCGGUCGGAAGUUAGGACGGAGCUAACGGAAGAACAUCAGUUAUGGCGAGCAGCAGUUCCAGGCUGGCAGUGAGCGUCAUCACGUUUUGAAUUAUUCUUUCUGAAGUUCUUUGUAAAGCCACUAUUUGUUAAAAUAUAUAUAACUGAAAUAAUAUAUUUUUUAUGCUAACAGUCAGCUAACAGUAAACAGCUAACAGUUUUCCCUCAAAUUAUUUGCCUCAUAAGUAACGUUUUUUUUUUUUUUUUUUUUUACAAGAGGUUCCACUCACCUUUGUUGAAUUAUGUGCUAUAUGUUUAAUACGAUAUAAAACGUAUAUAUUAUAUAUAUUAUAUAUAUUUUCAGUUAAAGACAAAGAUUGAGUUUCUAUUUUUAAUUAUAUUAAAAAAAUAUAUUUAUUUUUUCAACUUAAUACUCAAGUGAAAACAGAUAUAUUUUAGCAAACAAUUUCAGAACAAAAGCAAAGCAAUUUCAAAGUUAACACAUAAAUGAAGCUCCAGUCACAGAAAUAACUUUUAACAAUGAAAAUAAAUAAAAACAAAACUUCUCAUCUUAAAUGUAAGUAAAAUAUUCUGAAACAUAAAAUGAAUUUAAAAUAACAAAAAAAAAAAAAAGUAAACUCUUGAAAGAGGCAGUUAACCCUGAGGUCCUGUUUCUCAUCAAGCAAUCUGCGCUCAUUGAGAAACAUUUCCAUAUCUUCCCUGAACGUAAAGUGAAACAUAAAUGGUUCUUUGGCUAGUUGACUCAUUUCAGGGUUGUGAGCCUCUGAAAGUUUACUGAGGGCUCUCUUCUUGUCUUCAUUUUUAUCUUCAGAAGAUCUAGCUCCUUCACCCAUCCUCUGAGAUGAUGCUUGUUUUUGAUACCUAUUUUUGUGUUUGAGUCAGGAGCAGGAACCAUAAUAACAUUUAGGAAUGAUUUGUUUAGUCAUAUCCCCCCUUUUGAGUGAUCAUUUAAUAGCAUAUAGUAUUGUAAGGG